rnacentral:rRNA from 1 species
AAGGGUAAAUGCCUCCCAAGCCGAUGAUCAAAAGCCAUGUUUGAUAGAGCAGAUGGCCACAUUGGGUAUGAAAAGCCCCAAGUAGAAUUAUCUACCAGCAGUCAAGAAUAUUAGUCAAUGCUCGCAAGAGUGAACUAGCUAACUGAAAUCACAGGAUCCGCUACGUGUGGUGAAUGUUAUAACGUAAGGGAAAAAAAUGAUAUUACCUUACUAUUAGUGUUGUCCAAAACUGGUGCCAGAAGACUCGGUAAGGCCAGAGACGCAAACGUUAGUCGUCCUAAUCAGGCGUAAAGGGUAAGUAGGCUGCUUUAAAAGUUUAAUAUAAAAUUUUAAUUAGCUCUGUAUUAAAAAGUAAUAUUUGUAAUACAGUAAAAUAUAAAUGAAUUAAAGCUAGGAUCAAAUUGAGGAUAAUUAUAAAUAAUACUUAGUGUAGGGUUUAAAUCUGGUGAUACUAAGGGGAGUACUAACGGUGAAAGCUUUUUAUCUAGAAAUGAUUGACGCUGAGGAACGAAGGUGAGAAUAGGAAAUAGGAUUAGAUACCCAGAUACCUCUCACAGUCAACGAUGAAUGGUGGUUGUUAGUUAGUUUUAUUUAACUGAUAACGAUGUUAACACGAUAACCAUUCCGCCUUGCGAGUACGGUUGCAAAACUGAAACCAAAAAAAUUAGUCGGUCUCGAAGCAAACGAAGUGAAGCAUGUUAUUUAAUACGAUAAUACGCGUAAAAUCUUACCAGUCCUUGUAUAUCCAAUCUUUCUAAUUUAAAUUAGAGAGAUUGAGUAGUUUCUUUUUCAAAAGAUUAAGAAAUUCGUUUA